UGAUGCUAAUACUGGUGAGUUCCACUCAGCC
rnacentral:piRNA from 1 species